GAUGAACGCUGGCUACAGGCUUAACACAUGCAAGUCGAGGGGAAACGACGGGGAAGCUUGCUUCCCCGGGCGUCGACCGGCGCACGGGUGAGUAACGCGUAUCCAACCUGCCUCUGACUGAGGGAUAACCCGUCGAAAGUCGGCCUAAUACCUCAUGGCAUCGUCUGCGGGCAUCCAACGACGAUUAAAGAUUUCAUCGGUCAGAGAUGGGGAUGCGUCUGAUUAGCUUGUUGGCGGGGUAACGGCCCACCAAGGCGACGAUCAGUAGGGGUUCUGAGAGGAACGUCCCCCACAUUGGAACUGGGACACGGUCCAAACACCUACGGGAGGCAGCAGUGAGGAAUAUUGGUCAAUGGACGAGAGCCUGAACCAGCCAAGUAGCGUGCAGGAUGACGGCCCUAUGGGUUAUAAACUGCUUUUAUGCGGGGAUAAAGUGAGGGACGUGUCCUUCAUUGCAGGUACCGCAUGAAUAAGGACCGGCUAAUUCCGUG
rnacentral:rRNA from 1 species